GAGAGCCGGAUGCAGGGAAACCUGCACGUCCGGUUCGGAGAGGGGGACGGAGAAACCGGCAGCGGUGACGCUGUACGGCGCUCUGUCCCUACUCUAC
rnacentral:ncRNA from 1 species